CAUCUCAAUAUGGCGGACUGUGCUGUCAUUUGCGACAGAAUUGACAAGAAGACAGCUUUGGGAGUUCUCAACUCCCCAAAUCACCAUGGCAACUGUGGCUAUAUCAACAGCUAAACAAUGGGAUGACGAGACACUGGGAUUUUUUAUGGAGGAGAUCACAUGUCAUUGGAACCCUCGAUGUUUUGAGGUUCUUCAUUUGUGUUCAUUAGCAAAGGCAUUUCUUCCAAUGAAUUCAAUAGAUGUACAUAACUUUUUCUUAUGGUUAGAGGAAGAAAUUCUUGAUCGCAGUGUUUCUACUUUAUCACCAACAGAACUUGGAUAUUCUUUGUAUUUUAGUAGGACAUAAAACUACUGGUAGGAAUUUCUUUGAGGCAGUGAAGGAACAGCCAGUAACUUGCAAUCUUGAUGAUUACAACGAUGAAGAUAUUAGAAAUAUUUGCGAUUUACUUGCCAAAGCUGGAAUAGAUGUCAGGGAACUACAAUUUAAACUAAGCAAAUAGUUGAAAUGCAAAGUAAUUCACAUAUUACUUUUGUAGUAACUUAAGAAAGAUGUAUAAAUUCGUAAUAUGAUGAUUAAACUUUCUCAUAG